rnacentral:rRNA from 1 species
GAUGAACGCUGGCGGCGUGCUUAACACAUGCAAGUCGAACGGAAAGGCCCAAGCUUGCUUGGGUACUCGAGUGGCGAACGGGUGAGUAACACGUGGGUGAUCUGCCCUGCACUUCGGGAUAAGCCUGGGAAACUGGGUCUAAUACCGGAUAGGACCACAUCUUGGAUGGUGUGGUGGAAAGUUUUGCGGUGUGGGAUGAGCUCGCGGCCUAUCAGCUUGUUGGUGGGGUAAUGGCCUACCAAGGCGUCGACGGGUAGCCGGCCUGAGAGGGUGUACGGCCACAUUGGGCCUGGGAUACGGCCCAGAGUCCUACGGGAGGCAGAAGUGGGGAGUAUUGCACAAUGGUCGCAAGCCUGAUGCAGCGACGCCGCGUGGGGGAUGACGGCCUUCGGGUUGUAAACUCCUUUCGCUAGGGACGAAGCGCAAGUGACGGUACCUGGAGAAGAAGCACCGGCUAACUACGUG